AGUGAACGCUGGCGGCAGGCCUAACACAUGCAAGUCGAACGGCAGCACAGUAAGAGCUUGCUCUUACGGGUGGCGAGUGGCGGACGGGUGAGGAAUACAUCGGAAUCUACUUUUUCGUGGGGGAUAACGUAGGGAAACUUACGCUAAUACCGCAUACGACCUACGGGUGAAAGCAGGGGAUCUUCGGACCUUGCGCGAUUGAAUGAGCCGAUGUCGGAUUGGCUAGUUGGCGGGGUAAAGGCCCACCAAGGCGACGAUCCGUAGCUGGUCUGAGAGGAUGAUCAGCCACACUGGAACUGAGACACGGUCCAGACUCCUACGGGAGGCAGCAGUGGGGAAUAUUGGACAAUGGGCGCAAGCCUGAUCCAGCCAUACCGCGUGGGUGAAGAAGGCCUUCGGGUUGUAAAGCCCUUUUGUUGGGAAAGAAAAGCAGCAGGUUAAUACCCCGCUGUUCUGACGGUACCCAAAGAAUAAGCACCGGCUAACUUCGUG
rnacentral:rRNA from 1 species